UACGUAGGGUGCGAGCGUGUCCGGAAUACUGGGCGUAAAGCGUGCGCAGGCGGUUUUGUAAGUCUGUCGUGAAAGCCCCGGGCUUAACCUGGGAAUUGCGAUGGAGACUGCAAGGCUUGAAUCUGGCAGAGGGGGGUAGAAUUCCACGUGUAGCAGUGAAAUGCGUAGAGAUGUGGAGGAACACCGAUGGCGAAGGCAGCCCCCUGGGUCAAGAUUGACGCUCAUGCACGAAAGCGUGGGGAGCAAACAGG
rnacentral:rRNA from 1 species